rnacentral:rRNA from 1 species
CAGUCGUACCGGCGGAUAAUCAGCCUUUCGGGUGCGAUUCUGUGGGGCGUGAGGAGUUAAACGCCUUCAUGCCUGCAUAUUCGUGCACUUUGGGUGUACUUGCCCGUGUGUAAGUUAACAUCAAUUUUGGUGGUCAUAAAAUGGCUGGAGGAAUGUAGCUUCGAUCUCGUAUUGAAGUGUUAUAGCCUUCGGUAGAUGUGGUGAUCGAGAUUGAGGAUUGCAGCGCGCCUUAUGGCCGGGGUUCGCGCCCUCGGUACGCGCUUAGGAUGCUGGCAUAAUGGCUUUAAGCGACCCGUCUUGAAACACGGACCAAGGAGUCUAGCAUAUAUGCGAGUGUU